GCCACACCAUUAAAAGCACCGGCCUAAUAUCCUGUAGGUCCCCCUUGUACUGCCACAACAACUCUAAUGCAUCAAAAACAUUGUAUCCUGUAGAAUCUGGAACAAAGACAUUAGCAGCAGAUCCUAUAAUUCUUGCAAAUUGUGAGGUAGGGACACCAUGGAUUGGAUAUUCUAUUCGAGCACUUCCCACAGAUGCUCAAUGUGUUUAAUUGAAUCGUGGUUUGUGCUUUAUUUCAUGUAAUAUUGGAGUGUUGUUGAAAAUUAUGCAAUAUAUUUGCACUAGAUUGUAUUAAUUGUAUUUGUAGUUUCAUGCACUUAUUUGCAGGUGAGUAUGGGGUUUAUAUUGGAUAGAUGUUUUAGUUGGAUGGAGGCUAUAUAGUUGUAUUGUAUAAUAUUGCAGUCUCUAUUGUGUAAUGGCUAUAUGUACUACUGUUAAAGUAAUGAUUGAUGGAUAAUAUUGUUUAUAUAAUAGAUGUAUUAUGGUAUUAUGUGGACCGCUAUAAGUUUAAUGAAUUACAUUCUCUGUUUUACUGUAUUAUCAAUUGUUACUGUAUUUUUGAUCAGAC